GGCCACUAAGCUCAGUUGUUUAGAGCAUGGUGUUAAUAAUUCCAAGGUCACAGGUUUAAUCCCUGCAUGGGCCA
rnacentral:tRNA from 1 species